AAUUAAUCCUCAAAAAUACAACUUGCCUAAUAAUUCUGCACUCCCUGUAUAGUCACCAGAACAGCUACAGCUUAUUGAAUUUGUUCUGGUGAGUGGAUUCAUUCCCUUCAGGCUUUUUGCAGUAAACACUGUCUUUUCAGAGAAAAUGCAGUGUUUACAUUACAGCCUAGUGAAAACUUCACUCACUCCUCAGAUGCCCGCUAGAGAUGUUUCUU